rnacentral:rRNA from 1 species
CCUACGGGGAGCAGCAGUGGGGAAUAUUGCACAAUGGGGGAAACCCUGAUGCAGCGACGCCGCGUGAGUGAAGAAGUAUUUCGGUACGUAAAGCUCUAUCAGCAGGGAAGAAAAUGACGGUACCUGACUAAGAAGCCCCGGCUAACUACGUGCCAGCAGCCGCGGUAAUACGUAGGUGGCAAGCGUUAUCCGGAUUUACUGGGUGUAAAGGGAGCGUAGACGGCAGCGCAAGUCUGGAGUGAAAUCCCAUGGCUUAACCAUGGAACUGCUUUGGAAACUGUGCAGCUAGAGUGCAGGAGAGGUAAGCGGAAUUCCUAGUGUAGCGGUGAAAUGCGUAGAUAUUAGGAGGAACACCAGUGGCGAAGGCGGCUUACUGGACUGUAACUGACGUUGAGGCUCGAAAGCGUGGGGAGCAAACAGGAUUAGAUACCCGAGUAGUC